rnacentral:lncRNA from 1 species
GAAUAAACAAAACAUUAUAGCCUUAAUAUACAGUGGACUCAAGGCAAUGGGUGGCAUGCAAGACACACUGAUCAAGAUAACGCCUCAUACGGCGCUCCAGCACCGAUAACAUGGCAGAAGCACAGCUUGCGAUCAGGGCUCCUGGAUUGUAUGGUUGCUAUCCUCCCCUGCACCACCACUGCCACCAUUAGUUACACUGUUUGUCGCCUCUACCGUGUUACGAUCAUGGGGAACAAGAAGCUGCAUGACCAUUGUUGUUUCUGUUCCGUUCAUCUGUGCUACUCCUCAUGGUCUUUGCAUGAGCUUUGCGGUGCUGAAAGCGCAAGUGGAUAAAGAAGUUAAAGGUGAAUCACACCCUUUUGAGGUACCAUCUUAUAGUGUACUAUUUAUUUUGUCUAAAUCACAAUCAUAGAAAUUCGU